rnacentral:rRNA from 1 species
GCACAAGCGGUGGAGCAUGUGGUUUAAUUCGACGCAACGCGAAGAACCUUACCUGGGCUCGAAAUGUACCGGAAUCCGGCAGAAACGUCGGCGUCUAGCAAUAGACCGGUAUAUAGGUGCUGCAUGGCUGUCGUCAGCUCGUGUCGUGAGAUGUUGGGUUAAGUCCCGCAACGAGCGCAACCCUUAUCUUCAGUUGCUACCAUUUAGUUGAGCACUCUGACGAAACCGCCUCGGAUAACGGGGAGGAAGGUGGGGAUGACGUCAAGUCCUCAUGGCCUUUAUGUCCAGGGCUACACACGUGCUACAAUGGCCGGUACAAACCGUCGCAAAGCCGCGAGGUGGAGCUAAUCGGAAAAAGCCGGCCUCAGUUCGGAUCGCAGUCUGCAACUCGACUGCGUGAAGCUGGAAUCGCUAGUAAUCGUGGAUCAGAAUGCCACGGUGAAUACGUUCCCGGGC